GGGGCAGUGUAGCUCAGUGGCAGAGCAUCCGCUUGGCAUGCAGAAAGACCCAGGUUCAAUCCCUGGCAUCCCCA